GUCAGGAACUAUGAGCACCAAGCUCAGCUUGAGCUUCAGGCAAUGCUUCGUGACAGGGAGCCAGCUAUGAUCUGAAGUCUGAGUAAGGGCCGGACAGGGAAGGCGUGAGCCCCAAUCCAGAAGAGGAACAGGAUGAGUAAAGAAUUUGGACCAAAAUAGCAUGUGCUUGCCACUUCCUACAGCCUCUGAGAAAAGAAAUAUUCAGCAAGGAGUAUCUUGAUCCUAAGGACCCAUAUCAAUGUCCUUCCUCUGCCGGAUAUUCACCAGGACCCAUUUCCUCCGUAAAUUCUAGGGCUCCAAACCACCCACCCCACAUGCAAGGUGAUGAGAAGUAGAGAGAUGAGAAGAUGAGAGGUGCUCAGAGCACUGGUAGAUGAAUGGAUAGUCAGACAGAGGGAUGGACAGAUUUGUCAGGAUGGCAAAAGACGGAAUCCUUGGAGCUCCCAGAGUGUGUGUGUCUGUGCCACGUGGACUUUUCUGUGAAGGCAGAAUUGGCCUGAGCAACAACACUCCCGACCCCAGACCUGUUAUGAGAGCUGUUGUGGAGAGCACUGAGAAGGGGUCAUCUCUGCAGGACUCUGGAGCCUCUGCAGGGAGUCAAGCAGCUGGGCUUGACCCAGUGAAGUGACAAGAGCUGGGAAGUCAGUGAAGACAAGGCCGCUUUGUCUGGAAGUAGCAACGCAUGGCUGGGCUGAGCCUGCCCUUGAUCAUGAAAUCUGUGGCAGCUCCAAAACUUGUUGGGGCCUGACCCUGUGUUCACUUUCUCACGCUGCCUCACCAUUGUUCCUCUGCAGCUAAAAGUCUUUCAAAUGUGUCUGCUUAUUUUUGCCUUGGCAAAUAAUUCUAUAUUUCCAAUAUUAUCUAAAAUGCUUGAAUUUUAACUCUAAAAGGAAAAAAAAAUCAUCUUUUUUUCUGCUGUAAGACAUCCGCUAGUGUUACAUUCGUAAAGAGUAGAUCUGAGACACUCAGAAAGGCUACCUCCUAUUUCAUCUCAAAUUCCACUUUGUGACAAAGCUUCCCAGAUUUCCUCAUCUCUGAAGUGGGCACAAUACUACCCACAUUACAUUCUUAUUAACAAUCCUAAAAAGGGCUUAUUUAAAUAAGAAACAUCUAGAAAUGGAUGCCAUGGAUGAAAAUUCAAUUUACAUCUAAGUUUUCAUGGAAGCAUCUGGUGGGUAGAGCGACAAAAGCCAAGAAUGGCACCCCAUGCAGGGCAGGAUGCUCUUCUCAGUUACAGAAAAACAUGGGCCUUGUAUCUUACAUAUGGCUCUGUACAGAGCUGGGAGAAAGGAACAGGCUACCCUAGCAAAUCAAAAUGGAAAUUGAGCUACAUUUGUUACAAUUCAAGCAAGAUCUGCAACUUUCAAUAGAAAAAUAUUAGUACAGGCAGUACCCAACUUGGAAAUGAACUGUCUUGCAAAAGUUCAUUUGCAAGCAGAGUGUUCAGAACCUGGAAUGCAAGGUGUCUUUUAUGUCCCAAGCCAGCCCACAAAAGGCUGAUUGAAUCUGUAAUCUAUUUGGUAUAUUACAUAAAGUAAAAAUAGAAAACAAAACAAAACAAACUGCUCUGAUAACAUUUUAAAAACAUAUAAAAAUACUUAGAAAACAAAUAUACAGCCAAUAAUUAGCCUUGACCCGAAGCCCCCACCAUGACCUGGGCCCUGGACCCCCUACAGUCCAAGUCAUAGCUGAAAUGGGGUCCUGAGAAACUGAAUGGAGAAGAAUGAGAAGAACCCCAGCCUAAAAGGGACAGGGGUUCUGGUGGGAGAAAAAAGUAGUCAGGCAUCUCUCAACUGGAAGAGAAGGGUCUGGUACCUACCCAGAAUAUAUACUCUAGCACAGAAGUGCUACUGGUCACAUCUAGAAAGACAUGGGUAUGUGAAAGAACAGUGGCCACUCUGCCUGC
rnacentral:lncRNA from 1 species